UUCGCAAUGCCCGAAAGGGUGACGAAGCGACGCCGCGUGUGGGAAGAAGGCCUUCGGGUUGUAAACCGCUGUUGGGAGUUAGGAAGUGUGGGAGUGUUAAUAGCGCUUCCACUUGACUAAAGCUCCAGAGGAAGCCACGGCUAACUCUGUGCCAGCAGCCGCGGUAAUACAGAGGCGGCAAGCGUUGUUCGGAAUUAUUGGGCGUAAAGAGCACGUAGGCGGCUCUGUAAGUCAGCUGUGAAAGCCUUCUGCUUAACGGAAGAACAGCAGUUGAAACUACAGGGCUUGAGUGCGGGAGGGGAGAGUGGAACUUCUGGUGGAGCGGUGAAAUGCGUAGAUAUCAGAAGGAACGCCGGCGGCGAAAGCGGCUCUCUGGCCCAUAACUGACGCUGAGUGUGCGAAAGCUAGGGGAGCAAACGGGAUUAGAUACCCCGGUAGUCCUAGCCGUAAACGAUGGGCACUAAGUAGAGGGGUUUU
rnacentral:rRNA from 1 species